GUGUCAUUCUAAGUAGUAGUGCCGCAGGUGACAACAUUUGAGCUUACCUGUUCUCUGCUACUUAACAUGGCCG
rnacentral:pre_miRNA from 1 species